UACGGAGGGGGGCUAGCGUUGUUCGGAAUUACUGGGCGUAAAGCGUGCGUAGGCGGCUGCGCAAGUCGGGUGUGAAACCCCGGGGCUCAACCCCGGAACUGCAUCCGAUACUGCGUGGCUAGAGGUAGGUAGGGGAGAUCGGAAUUCCUGGUGUAGCGGUGAAAUGCGCAGAUAUCAGGAGGAACACCGGUGGCGAAGGCGGAUCUCUGGGCCUUACCUGACGCUCAGGCACGAAAGCUAGGGGAGCGAACAGG
rnacentral:rRNA from 1 species